GAUGAACGCUGGCGGCGUGCCUAAUACAUGCAAGUCGAGCGAACGGACGAGAAGCUUGCUUCUCUGAUGUUAGCGGCGGACGGGUGAGUAACACGUGGAUAACCUACCUAUAAGACUGGGAUAACUUCGGGAAACCGGAGCUAAUACCGGAUGAUAUUUUGAACCGCAUGGUUCAAAAGUGAAAGACGGUCUUGCUGUCACUUAUAGAUGGAUCCGCGCUGCAUUAGCUAGUUGGUAAGGUAACGGCUUACCAAGGCAACGAUGCAUAGCCGACCUGAGAGGGUGAUCGGCCACACUGGAACUGAGACACGGUCCAGACUCCUGCGGGAGGCAGCAGUAGGGAAUCUUCCGCAAUGGGCGAAAGCCUGACGGAGCAACGCCGCGUGAGUGAUGAAGGUCUUCGGAUCGUAAAACUCUGUUAUUAGGGAGGAACAUAUGUGUAAGUAACUGUGCACAUCUUGACGGUACCUAAUCAGAAAGCCACGGCUAACUACGUG
rnacentral:rRNA from 1 species